rnacentral:rRNA from 1 species
AGUGAACGCUGGCGGCAGGCCUAACACAUGCAAGUCGAGCGGCAGCGCGGGGGCAACCCUGGCGGCGAGCGGCGGACGGGUGAGGAAUGCGUCGGAAUCUGCCUCUUUGUGGGGGAUAACGUAGGGAAACUUACGCUAAUACCGCAUACGACCUACGGGUGAAAGUGGGGGACCUUCGGGCCUCACGCAGAGAGAUGAGCCGACGCCGGAUUAGCUAGUUGGCGGGGUAAAGGCCCACCAAGGCGACGAUCCGUAGCUGGCCUGAGAGGAUGAUCAGCCACACUGGAACUGAGACACGGUCCAGACUCCUACGGGAGGCAGCAGUGGGGAAUAUUGGACAAUGGGCGCAAGCCUGAUCCAGCCAUGCCGCGUAUGUGAAGAAGGCCUUCGGGUUGUAAAGCACUUUUGUCCGGAAAGAAAUCCUUCGAAUUAAUACUUCGGAGGGAUGACGGUACCGGAAGAAUAAGCACCGGCUAACUUCGUGCCAGCCGCCGCGGUAAGAC